CGGACAGGGCAAGCUCGGCGGCACAGACAGCAUUCGACGCUGCUGGCUUACGUGGUGGUUGAUAUCCGUGUCCAGUGACGUUGAUUGCAGUUGUGUAGACGCGAAUUACAGCGACCGAUA
rnacentral:precursor_RNA from 15 species